rnacentral:rRNA from 1 species
GACGAACGCUGGCGGCGUGCCUAAUACAUGCAGGUCGAACGAGAGCGACCGGUGCUUGCACUGGUCAAUCUAGUGGCGAACGGGUGAGUAACACGUGGGUAACCUGCCCAUCAGAGGGGGAUAACAUCCGGAAACGGAUGCUAAAACCGCAUAGGUCUUCGAGCCGCAUGGCUUGAAGAGGAAAAGAGGCGCAAGCUUCUGCUGAUGGAUGGACCCGCGGUGCAUUAGCUAGUUGGUGAGGUAACGGCUCACCAAGGCCGUGAUGCAUAGCCGACCUGAGAGGGUGAUCGGCCACAUUGGGACUGAGACACGGCCCAAACUCCUACGGGAGGCAGCAGUAGGGAAUCUUCCGCAAUGGACGCAAGUCUGACGGAGCAACGCCGCGUGAGUGAAGAAGGUUUUCGGAUCGUAAAACCCUGUUGUUAGAGAAGAACAAGUGCUAGAGUAACUGUUAGCGCCUUGACGGUAUCUAACCAGAAAGCCACGGCUAACUACGUG